rnacentral:rRNA from 1 species
UGAACGCUGGCGGUAUGCUUAACACAUGCAAGUCGAACGGAAACGAUACUGGCUUGCUAGUAGGCGUCGAGUGGCGGACGGGUGAGUAACGCGUAGGAAUCUGCCUGAUAGUGGGGGAUAGCCCGAAGAAAUUCGGAUUAAUACCGCAUAAUCUAUUCGUAGUAAAGUGGGGGACUUUCGAGCCUCACGCUAUCAGAUGAGCCUGCGUAAGAUUAGCUUGUUGGUAGGGUAAAAGCCUACCAAGGCGACGAUCUUUAGCUGGUCUGAGAGGAUGAUCAGCCACAUCGGGACUGAGACACGGCCCGAACUCCUACGGGAGGCAGCAGUGGGGAAUAUUGGACAAUGGGGGCAACCCUGAUCCAGCAAUACCGCGUGUGUGAAGAAGGCCUGAGGGUUGUAAAGCACUUUCAAUUGUGAAGAAAAGUUAGCGGUUAAUAACCGUUAGCCUUGACGUUAACUUUAGAAGAAGCACCGGCUAACUCCGUGCCAGCAGCCGCGGUAAUACGGAGGGUGCAAGCGUUAAUCGGAAUUACUGGGCGUAAAGCGUGCGUAGGCGGUUUAUUAAGUCAGAUGUGAAAGCCCCGGGCUUAACCUGGGAACUGCAUUUGAAACUGGUCAACUAGAGUAUGGUAGAGGAAAGUGGAAUUUCUGGUGUAGCGGUGAAAUGCGUAGAUAUCAGAAGGGAACAUCAAUGGCGAAGGCAGCUUUCUGGACCAAUACUGACGCUGAGGUACGAAAGCGUGGGUAGCAAACAGGAUUAGAUACCCUGGUAGUCCACGCCGUAAACGAUGAUAACUAGCCGUUGGGGGGAUUUACCCUUUAGUGGCGAAGCUAACGCGUUAAGUUAUCCGCCUGGGGAGUACGGCCGCAAGGUUAAAACUCAAAGGAAUUGACGGGGACCCGCACAAGCGGUGGAGCAUGUGGUUUAAUUCGAUGCAACGCGAAGAACCUUACCUGGUCUUGACAUCCUGCGAACUUUCUAGAAAUAGAUUGGUGCCUUCGGGAACGCAGUGACAGGUGCUGCAUGGCUGUCGUCAGCUCGUGUCGUGAGAUGUUGGGUUAAGUCCCGUAACGAGCGCAACCCCUAUCCUUAUUUGCCAGCACAUCAUGGUGGGAACUAUAAGGAGACUGCCGGUGAUAAACCGGAGGAAGGCGGGGACGACGUCAAGUCAUCAUGGCCCUUACGACCAGGGCUACACACGUGCUACAAUGGGAAGGACAAAGAGCCGCGAAGCCGCGAGGUGUAGCUAAUCUCAUAAACCUUUUCGUAGUCCGGAUUGGAGUCUGCAACUCGACUCCAUGAAGUCGGAAUCGCUAGUAAUCGUAGAUCAGAAUGCUACGGUGAAUACGUUCCCGGGUCUUGCACACACCGCCC